AAUGGAGAUGUAGCACUGUGAUUAUGCUCUUGACUACUGGGGAGCAGGAACCAAAGUCACUGUUCCGUCAGGUGAAUCCUCUCAGACUCUGUCCCUGUUCGUCCUGAGACCCCAGCAGACCUCUGGUGAACCCCUGAACUCUGCAGACCUACUCAGUCAAGAAGUCUGUCUGGCAACAGAUUUCCGUUCAAAAGUGACUGUGAAUGAGAAAGAGGGUCCGGCCAAUGUGAGCACUGACGAUGCUGUUCAGCCAAAGAACCAAAACCACUUUGAUGAAUUCAGUAACAAAAACAACCACUCCUGUGGGAUGAACAUCAGCAACAAUGAAGGAGAUGAUGAAUGUGGAGACUUUGAUCCAGAAAAAGCCAAGCUGAACUUCUACCUGCUGCUGAUGAACGGAGUCCGAGUGGUGUUCACCAAAGCUCUGGCCUUCAGCACCGUCCUCACCAUCAGAGGCCUGAUCUUCUGA